rnacentral:rRNA from 1 species
UACGUAGGGUGCGAGCGUUAAUCGGAAUUACUGGGCGUAAAGCGUGCGCAGGCGGCUUUGCAAGACAGAUGUGAAAUCCCCGGGCUCAACCUGGGAACUGCAUUUGUGACUGCAAGGCUAGAGUACGGUAGAGGGGGAUGGAAUUCCGCGUGUAGCAGUGAAAUGCGUAGAUAUGCGGAGGAACACCGGUGGCGAAGGCAAUCCCCUGGACCUGUACUGACGCUCAUGCACGAAAGCGUGGGGAGCAAACAGG